rnacentral:rRNA from 1 species
GGCGACCGGCAAACGGGUGCGGAACACGUACAGAACCUUCCUUCGAGCGGGGAAUAGCCCAGAGAAAUUUGGAUUAAUACCCCAUAGCAUAUUGAUAAGGCAUCUUAUUAAUAUUAAAGAUUUAUCACUUGAAGAUGGCUGUGCGGCUGAUUAGGUAGUUGGCGGGGUAACGGCCCACCAAGCCUGCGAUCAGUAACUGGUGUGAGAGCACGACCAGUCACACGGGCACUGAGACACGGGCCCGACUCCUACGGGAGGCAGCAGUAAGGAAUAUUGGUCAAUGGACGAAAGUCUGAACCAGCCAUGCCGCGUGGAGGAUGAAGGUCCUCUGGAUUGUAAACUUCUUUUAUAUGGGACGAAAAAGGGUCUUUCUAGAUCAACUGACGGUACCAUAUGAAUAAGCACCGGCUAACUCCGUGCCAGCAGCCGCGGUAAUACGGAGGGUGCAAGCGUUAUCCGGAUUCACUGGGUUUAAAGGGUGCGUAGGUGGGUUGGUAAGUCAGUGGUGAAAUCCCCGAGCUUAACUUGGGAACUG